rnacentral:tRNA from 1 species
GUUAACCUAGUUUAUUAGAAAAUAAUAGCUUGUCGAGCUUUAGAAACAAUUUUAUUGUGGUUGAUA